AUUGAACGCUGGCGGCAGGCCUAACACAUGCAAGUCGAACGAGUGGCGGACGGGUGAGUAAUGUCUGGGAAACUGCCUGAUGGAGGGGGAUAACUACUGGAAACGGUAGCUAAUACCGCAUACCAUCGGAUGUGCACAGAUGGGAUUAGCUAGUAGGUGGGGUAAAGGCUCACCAAGGCGACGAUCCCUAGCUGGUCUGAGAGGAUGACCGGCCACACUGGAACUGAGACACGGUCCAGACUCCUACGGUAGGCAGCAGUGGGGAAUAUUGCACAAUGGGCGCAAGCCUGACGCAGCAAUGCCGCGUGUAUGAAGAAGGCCUUCGGGUUGUAAAGUACUGUCAUCGGGGAGGCGUUACCCGCAGAAGAAGCCCCGGCUAACUCCGUGCCAGCAGCCGCGGUAAUAC
rnacentral:rRNA from 1 species